rnacentral:rRNA from 1 species
UACGUAGGGGGCUAGCGUUGUCCGGAAUCAUUGGGCGUAAAGAGCGUGUAGGCGGCCAUACAGGUCCGUUGUGAAAACUCGAGGCUCAACCUCGAGACGUCGAUGGAAACCGUAUGGCUAGAGUCCGGAAGAGGAGAGUGGAAUUCCUGGUGUAGCGGUGAAAUGCGCAGAUAUCAGGAAGAACACCGGUGGCGAAGGCGGUUCUCUGGGCCUGUACUGACGCUGAGGAGCGAAAGCGUGGGGAGCGAACAGG